rnacentral:tRNA from 1 species
GCCUGGGUGGCUCAGUCAGUUGAGUGUCCGACUUCGACUCAGGCCAUGAUCUCACAGCUCGUGGGUUCGAAGCCCCGCACCAGGCU